rnacentral:rRNA from 1 species
UACGUAGGUGGCAAGCGUUGUCCGGAUUUACUGGGUGUAAAGGGCGUGUAGGCGGGAUAGUAAGUCAGGUGUGAAAUACCAAGGCUCAACCUUGGGGCUGCACUUGAAACUGCUAUUCUUGAGUGUCGGAGAGGAAAGCGGAAUUCCUAGUGUAGCGGUGAAAUGCGUAGAUAUUAGGAGGAACACCAGUGGCGAAGGCGGCUUUCUGGACGAUAACUGACGCUGAGGCGCGAAAGCGUGGGGAGCAAAC